CAGAGUUUCGUACUCCAAACCCUUUGUGAACAUACCUGUUUUCGUUGCUUCGGCAGGUGAAGGCGGAUGGCCUCCGGGCCUCCCGCCGCCGCCGGGUCCGGGAAACCGGCCGGGUGGGCCUGCCGGAGGGCACAGACUCUUGUAUUAAACGUACCUCUCUGAGUUAUCUUUUACAAACAAGUAA
rnacentral:misc_RNA from 1 species